GACGAACUGUGCGAACGUUGUUCGGAAUCACUGGGCUUAAAGGGUGCGUAGGCGGCCCGUUAAGUCGGGGGUGAAAUACUUCGGCUCAACCGUGGAACUGCUGGGCAUACUGGCGUUCUUGAGCCAGCCAGGGGUCGUCGGAACAAACGGUGGAGCGGUGAAAUGCGUAGAUAUCGUUUGGAACGCCAAAGGCGAAAGCAGACGACUGGGGCUGAGCUGACGCUGAGACACGAAAGCCAGGGGAGCAAACGGG
rnacentral:rRNA from 1 species